ACAGCCACAUCAUGUUGAAACACCAGUUUGCUGUAUGAUCACUGAAGUUAAGCAAUGUUGAGCCUGGUCAGUACUUAGAUGGGUGACCACUUAGGAAUACCAGGUGCUGUAAG